CCUACGGGUGGCAGCAGUGGGGAAUAUUGCACAAUGGGGGAAACCCUGAUGCAGCGACGCCGCGUGAGUGAAGCAGUAAUUCGUUAUGUAAAGCUCUAUCAGCAGUGAAGAAACAGACGGUACCUGAGUAAGAAUCCCCGGCUAACUACGUGCACGCAGCCGCUGUAAGACGUAGGGGGCACGCGUUAUCCGGAGUUACUGGGUGUAAAGGGAGCGUAGACGGCGAAGAAAGUCUGAAGUGAAAGCCCGCGGCUUAAACGCGGAACUGGUUUGGAAACUUUUUUGCUGGAGUACUGGAGAGGUAAGGGGAAUUCCUAGGGUAGCGGGGAAAUGCGUAGAUAUUAGGAGGAACACCAGUGGCGAAGGCGGCUUAGUGGACGGUAACUGACGUUGAGGCUCGAAAGCGUGGGGAGCAAACAGGAUUAGAUACCCUGGUAGUC
rnacentral:rRNA from 1 species